UACGUAGGGUGCAAGCGUUAAUCGGAAUUACUGGGCGUAAAGCGUGCGCAGGCGGUUAUGCAAGACAGAUGUGAAAUCCCCGGGCUCAACCUGGGAACUGCAUUUGUGACUGCAAGGCUGGAGUCUGGCAGAGGGGGGUAGAAUUCCACGUGUAGCAGUGAAAUGCGUAGAGAUGUGGAGGAACACCGAUGGCGAAGGCAGCCCCCUGGGUCAAGACUGGCGCUCAUGCACGAAAGCGUGGGGAGCAAACAGG
rnacentral:rRNA from 1 species